GUGGGGAAUCUUCCGCAAUGGACGAAAGUCUGACGGAGCAACGCCGCGUGAGUGAAGAAGGUUUUCGGAUCGUAAAGCUCUUUCGUUAGGGACGAACGUGCUCUUUGUGAAUAAUGAGGAGUAAUGACGGUACCUAAAUAAGAAGCCACGGCUAACUACGUGCCAGCAGCCGCGGUAAUACGUAGGUGGCAAGCGUUGUCCGGAAUUAUUGGGCGUAAAGCGCGCGCAGGCGGGAUAUCAAGUCCGUCUUAAAAGUGCGAGGCUCAACCUCGUGAGGGGACAGAAACUGGUAUUCUUGAGUGUCGGAGAGGAAAGUGGAAUUCUAAGUGUAGCGGUGAAAUGCGUAGAGAUUUGGAAGAACACCAGUGGCGAAGGCGACUUUCUGGACGAUGUCUGACGCUGAGGCGCGAAAGCUAGGGGAGCGAACGGGAUUAGAUACCCGAGUAGUCC
rnacentral:rRNA from 1 species